rnacentral:rRNA from 1 species
AACGAACGCUGGCGGCAUGCCUAACACAUGCAAGUCGAACGAGACCUCCGGGCCUUGUGGCGCACGGGUGCGUAACGCGUGGGAACCUGCCCUUAGGUUCGGAAUAACUCCCCGUAAGGGGUCCUAAUACCGGUUAAUGUCAUCGGACCAAAGACUUAUCGCGUUGGGAUGGGCCUGCGUUGGUUUGGCUGGUUGGUAGUGUAAAAGCCGACCAACGAGGGGUUCCAUGGCUGGUCGGGGAGGAUGAUCAGCCCCACUGGGACUGAGACACGGCCCAGACUGGUACGGGGGGGAGCAGAGGAGAAUAUUGUGCGCGGGGCGAUAGCCUGAUCCAGCAAUGCGGGGUGAGAGAUGAAGGCCGUAGGGUAGUAAAGCUCUUUUACCCGAGAUGAUAGUGACAGUACCGGGAGAAUAAGCUCCGGCUAACUCCGUG